rnacentral:ncRNA from 2 species
UUUUUCUGAUCAUCCUCUACUUAUAUAUCGUCAUGAUAAGGUUGACAGUAUCUAGCCAGUACCGUAAAUACUGGACUAUAAGUAAAAGAGUGUUUUGU